CCCUAUUAUUCCAGAUGUUAAGUAGAAACCAGAGUAGUAAUAGUUAUGUUCUUGAAACUCAAAGAAUUUGGCGGUGUUUUAGUCCGUUCAGAGGAACCUGUCCCAUGAUCGAUAAUCCACGUUAGACUUAACUUAGGUUUAUUUAGCUUGUAUACCGCCGUCGAAAGAGGAAUUCAGAAGAAUCCCCUCCAACUUCUCUAGUAAGAUAGAUGUCAGGUCAAGGUGCAGUUGAUACUUAAGGGGAGAUGGGUUACAAUAAGGAUACUUAAACGGAGAUUCACAGGAAGGUAUGAAUUAGAAGGUGGAUUUGAAUGUAAUUGGGUUUAAAUUUAAACCCAUGAAAUAGGCUCUAAAACAAGCACAC
rnacentral:rRNA from 1 species